rnacentral:misc_RNA from 1 species
UCUUCUUCUUCUUCUUCUUCUUCUUUCUCGCCAUACGCAAUCAUUCCUAAUCCUUCAAUUUAUGCUCUUCAACUGAUAUCCUUAGUUAAGACUCUGCAAACCACAGAAAUGGCGUUCAUGAGAAGAAAGGACGAACAAUUAACAGCGCUGAUUAAAGAAUAAAAACUAAGUUAUUGAGCCAAUUUGUAUGUAAAAUAAGAAAAAGAGAUAAAAGAGAUAAAAGAGAAAUGCGAACGCUUUGCGACGUGUGUGAGAGUGCCGCCGCGAUCCUCUUCUGCGCCGCCGAUGAAGCCGCGCUUUGCCGCU